CAAUGUUAUCAUUACACUUUAAAUAUUAAUUACUAAAUCUCAAACAUCAUUAUUAAACUGUAAGCACCAUCAUUAUAUUCUAUAUAAAUUUUAAAUUCUAACUCAUCCAUGUAUGUAUGCCACCACAUACAUUAACAAUAUAAUAGAGUGCCACACUAACACUUUGUUUUAGAGUAAUCACGCUAUCUAAAGAGUCUACGUAUAAAGAACAUGACAUAAAUUUUC
rnacentral:lncRNA from 1 species